ensembl:rRNA 5S_rRNA 5S ribosomal RNA
GCUUAUGGCCAUACCACCCUGAGCACGCCCGAUCUCGUCUGAUCUCGGAAGCUAAGCAGGGUCGGGCCUGGUUAGUACUUGGAUGGGAGACCGCCUGGGAAUACCAGGUGCUGUAAGCU